rnacentral:rRNA from 1 species
AUGCUGCAGGUUAUGGCCGGCAUCGACGGCGGUGGGGACGCACCGGCAGCGCGGCAGCCUGGGUUGACGCCCAUGGAGCUCAUCGAGCAGACGGUGAUUACAUGUGGAGUUCGGGAAGAGCAGCUGCAGCAUCAUCAGUACAUGCCUGCUCAUGUACUUGGAGCCUUGGAGGAGCAGAACGAAAAUAUUUCCAAUGUCACGUUGGACAUCUUGACAGCAGGCACUGAUUUAUCCGAGGCAGCAAGUCCACCAAGAAGGACGAAGACGGCAGCAUCAGCGACGACGAUGCGUACACUCUUUUUUAUUUGUUAA